rnacentral:rRNA from 1 species
GCCAAUGGCACUGCCCGGUAGCUAAAUGCGGAAGAGAUAAGUGCUGAAAGCAUCUAAGCACGAAACUUGCCCCGAGAUGAGUUCUCCCUGAGACUAUAAGUCUCCUGAAGGAACGUUAAAGACGAUGACGUUGAUAGGCCGGGUGUGUAAGCGCAGCGAUGCGUUGAGCUAACCGGUACUAAUGAACCGUGAGGCUUAACCUUACAACGCCGA